GUCCGUUAUAUGCAACGUUUUAUAGCGUUUAGGAGGUGUGGGGUCCGUUAUAAUGAAUAACUACAAAUUUGCUUGGAACCUAAGAGCCAGCAAAAAAGUUAGGAGCCAGGUUUUACAAUAUCAAAAAUACAAUUCUUAAAGGGACACUAUAGUCACCAGAACCAAUACAGCUUAAUGUAGUUUUUCUGGUGUCUAAUCUGUCC